UUUCAGCCAUAAUUUGAGGUUAACUUGAAGUUGUUUCUGUAAUUGCGUUUUUUGAUUUCGUAGUUCGAGGUGUGUCACCUUGAUAGGGGAAGGGGAAUUGAAAUAGUGCUAUUCUCUUCAUACUGGCAGAAUGACUUUCUGAGAAACAUCAAUGCGUCCCGUGAAAUCAAUGCUGACAGUUGAAAAUGAAUCUUUGUACAGUGGUAUGGGUUGUGGAUAGUCUCAAACCCGAAACCUUUCUUGCUUCGUGUUUGUUCGUAUCUAUUCGUGUCUUUGUUCUUCCAAAUUUCAACUUCCUUGUUCCUUCUUCAUUUGAGAUUUGACCUGUUGGUGUGUUGUAGCUGGUUUCUUGUCGUGACUUGUGCUUAUUUUAUUGUAAUUUAACGUAUUAAAUUAUCAAUUCAGUGCUAGAAAGUGGUGAAAUGUGGUUUAUUCUUAAUUUUAUCGGUUGUAGAAUGAGAUUUGUAAUGAUUGUGCUCAUAAGUUCUCGUAUUUGAAAUCGACUUUAUAGAACGAACUUAGCAGAAAACCAUUUUGAUAUCACAAGGUAUGCAGCAGAGGUUGGUGGAGAUGGAGAUUGAUGACUGCAAUGCAUGGAUGCUGAUGUGAGCUGGGCGGGCGGGCAUCGUGACGUCAUCCCACCCUCCUGUCAUCACCCGAAGACUUCUAGUAGGAUAUGACAGGUUGAACGAGUGAUUGAUAAAUGGGGAUCCAGCCUUACACCUCCUCCCCUCUUCACCGCUGUGGGACGAAGCUCCAGACUAGUUCCAAUCAGUGAGAAGAGUGAGAAGGAAAGAGGAUAGGAGAACAGUGAGAAUAGCGAAGUGAGCUCUGAGAGGUGCUUGGAGAAGGAUUGUUACUCAUUUGCAGACUGGGUCGCUGUUGCUAGAGUGAGAGAUGAGAGAAGGAGAGCUGCUUCAUCAUCAGGACAUGGAGGAGAGAGACAGACAGACAACGCCAAAGGAUGGCCUCCUCAAACGGAAAAGUGGGAAGAAGAAGAAGAAGAUAGAUAGAAGACGACGCAGCUAAGAAGAUACAUUUUUACAAAAUAGUGGGACUCUAGUGUAAGAGUUUAUAUAAAGUGAAAACUACAAACAUUGAUAUUGAAAAGUGAAUUAUUGGUGUGAAGUGAUAGAUAGUGAAAGGACUCGAAUUUACUUUCAUUCUCAAAAGACGUUGAAUUGUUUCAUAUUUUGUUAGUUUGUGAUGUUGUUGAUAUUGUGUAUGUUUUGCUGUAAAUAAUAAAUGCCUGUAGGGUGGGUGUCCUAGUGGGGUAUUUUCAGGCAUCGCGGAGGCAGCUGGACGGACGGACUACGCAGUACUUCAAUCAAGGUAAAAGUCAGCUCUCGACCGAUUCUAAUAGUUCAUUCUAGUUCCUUUUUUAAAUUCUUAUUUCUUGAAGUUUUAUUUUGAUUCAUUUUUUCCAGAUCUGAAUCAUUGUUUCCUAUUCCAGUGAAUUAAUCAUAUUAUUAAUUCACUAAAAUAGGAGAAAAAUAAUCAAUUUUGAAUUUCAUUUCUCAAUCUAUUUAAAUCCUAAAUUUUAUUAUUUCUCUUGUUGAACUGUUAGAUCGGUCCUGGGCGACUUCUGUGGAAUUGGUAAUUGCAUGUCUAGACCAUCACCCCCUAAGUUUUUUCUCAGCUUUUAUACUUUUGAAUUUGUUUCGAUUUUCAAUUGCUUUGGAGUUUUUCUUUAGUUGUUUCCUUUUAUUUUUUUGAACUUCCUGCUCUUUAUUUGUUUCAGUUUCUAAUUUUCUGUUGCUUUGGAGGCGAACCUUCAGUUCAAAUUCAAUAUCAAAGUAUAUGUCGAUAAGGGAUGUUUUGUUUGGUUCUUUUAAUUUCUUCAAAACUGUCCCCGAUUUUAUUUCAGUUUUUUAUAUUCAGUUUGGGAUUUUUCUUCAGUUGUUCCUUUUCAUUUCUUGGAAACUAUCUCCAUCUACUUAGAAUUUUUUAUAUAUUAUUGUAAU